AUGGCUACACAAACCAUUGAAGAUAGUUCUAAACCUAGGCCAAAACGAACCGGUGCAGGUAGUUUACUGAAACCCUUGAAUUCGGAAUAUGGGAAAGUCGCCCCGGGUUGGGGGACUACUCCUUUUAUGGGGGUCGCAAUGGCUUUAUUCGCUAUAUUCCUAUCUAUCAUUUUAGAAAUUUAUAAAUGUAAAUACAAUGAAAUUAAUUGUGUAAAAUGA
rnacentral:rRNA from 1 species